UAACCCUAAACAUAGACAGCAACCCUACAACACUGUCCGCCAGAGAACUACAAACGAAAAGUUUAAAACUCAAAGGAUUUGGCGGUACCCCAUUCCGACCUAGAGGAGCCUGUCCUAUAAUCGAUACUCCACGCUUUACCUUACCCCCCCUUGCAAUUCAGCCUAUAUACCGCCGUCGUCAGCCUACCUUAUGAAAGAAGCAAAGUAGGCAAAAUAGUUAUCAACUAAUACGUCAGGUCAAGGUGUAGCAAAUGGGGAGGAAGAGAUGGGCUACAUUUUCUAAAUUAGAAAACACGAACGGCACAAUGAAACCUGUGCCCAAAGGCGGAUUUAGCAGUAAGACAGACAAGAUACCCUGUCUAAAGCCCGCUCUAGGGUGCGCACACACCGCCCGUCACCCUCA
rnacentral:rRNA from 1 species